UCGAUGAUGGUCGAUGAACGGAAUCUACCAAGAUCUAAACAAAUAAAUUGAUUGAUUGGGCGCUGAUUGUGCCUGAUUUAUCAAUUACAUACACCGUGAAUUGCUUUUAUUACUGUACUGACUGAUACGCAACAAGCCAGUUGCUUGUUAUUUUUGUCUUGAACAUUAACUUCUCAAAAUGUUGAGGGUAAUAGAAAAAGUCGUACCAAGGAAAUGGCCAGCAGUUAACUGCUAUUUAAAUCAUUCCCAUCGGUUGGCAACAGCAGCCCUGUCUGAGCCUCAGCAACCAUGUAUCAAAACUGCUGUGCCUGGGCCUAAAACAGUUGAAUUAUUCAAGGAACUUAAUGCGAUUCAGGUGGGCUUAAGCUAUUUACUUGUAUUUUUUUCUGUUGUAUUCUUAAGGGGCUGCACAAACGUAAAUACACUUUUUUUUCCGCAACGGCUGCCGAGUCGACGUGGUGGUGUGGUGGCGACCAAACACUUUGUUACCGACACCGCACCUUGGUACUAUUAAUUCUGUGACCGCACAUUGAAUACUGGCUACCGGCUAUGCACAGCGCGCAGUUACAAUUAAUUGUAAGGAAAGUUAAGUUGUCUACUGACGACUUAAACCCUUUUACAGUGCUAAACAGAUCGUCAUUUAUGGAAAAUCAUAAUACCAUAGUGCUAGACUAACUGUACGCACGAGUUAUUGCUUUCUACGCACUGCGUAGGUACCAGAUCGUCGGUUGAACGCGUCUUCAUAAUUCAGUCGAGCGGCGCGAUUAGUAUCAGUUCAUGAGUAAGUACUAUCAACUAUCAUCUUCAAAUCAAUAGCCCAACAUCCAUGGGGGGGCACCAGACCGUGCCUCCUCGGCCCCCCCGCUAUAUGCAGCAGUUUAAUAGCGUUUGCGAACCGUUUGCUAAUUUUUAGCUUUGGCAUUAUCAUACGAAAUAGGUCGCCAGUGAUGAUAAACAGAUCUGAAAUGUGGUCACUUACUAUGUGUCUCAUAAGAAAACUCAAGGUCUCCUAAAGAGCGAUGGAGCGUGCUAUGCUCGGAGUUUCCCUACAUGAUCGAAUUAGAAAUGAAGAGAUCCGCAGGAAAACCAAAGUGAUCGACAUAGAACUGCUAAACUCAAGUGGCCUGUAGAGCCAAUAGCCAUUGGGGCAAAAAAUUUCGUGGCGACCACGGGCCGAAAGACGUAGUGUUAAGACCGACGAUCUUGUGAAGGUCGCGGGAAGUACUUGGAUGCAGGCAGCGCAGGAUCGGUCUUUGUGGAAAUGCUUUGGGAAGGCCUUUGUCCAGCUGUGGACGUCAUUUGGCUGAAAGGAAACGAACAAACGAAAUAAGGUUUUCUUUGUCUCUUCAUUGUGUCUUACCGGGUCUUAAAACAGUACGCAGCCUCAUAAAUUAACAUUACUUCUAUGUAGGUAAGUAGUUAGUACCUACAUCUUUUCGGCAGCUUUCUGUUAAAUCUCAUUUUAUGUGUGCCAAAGGAUAGGUAGUAUCUUAGAUUACUUAAUCUGGGGGCACGGCAGUGCCCCCACCAAGUCGAGCAA